rnacentral:rRNA from 1 species
AGACGGAGGGGGCUAGCGUUGUUCGGAAUUACUGGGCGUAAAGGGCGCGUAGGCGGAUUGUCAAGUCAGAGGUGAAAGCCCUGGGCUCAACCUGGGAACUGCCUUUGAAACUAACGGUCUAGAGUCCGAGAGAGGAUGGCGGAAUUCCCAGUGUAGAGGUGAAAUUCGUAGAUAUUGGGAAGAACACCAGUGGCGAAGGCGGCCAUCUGGCUCGGUACUGACGCUGAGGCGCGAAAGCGUGGGGAGCAAACAGGAUUAGAAACCCCGGUAGUCC